GAUCAAUCCCCCAACCAUCGGGAUCAAUCCCAACCACUUUCUCACGUUACACAGUGAAGAGAAUUUUAUUUUUUAUUUAUUUAUUUAUUUAUUUAUUUUUUUGUUUGUAUAAAAUUGUCCAUCGCUUUGCUUAGGGUGGUCGAACCCCUUAACCUUGCCCUUGCCAUCUCUCUCUCACCUCCAUUCACUGCCCAACCCUCAAACCUCUUCACCCAAAUCCAAACUCCCAAGUUCUUAGACCGUCCCUCUCUGUUCGCUCUUCUCUUCCGCGGUGUUGAAUUCGGCGUCAAUUUCACAGUUCACCCUUUGCUUCGCCCAUCUUUGGCUGAGUUGGGUGCGAUUGGGGAAGUGGAGUUCAGAUCGCGGCUGUUUCUCUUCCGCGUCGCAUCUGGGUCGCUGUUUUUCUCCGGCGAUUAAGAUAGGGUCGUUCUUCUCCGGCCACGGUAAAACAGCGGCGCCGUUUUAAAACGCUAUAAAGGGCGCCGUUUGAUUCGCCCUUUUCUUUUUCCGAUGUCGCGGGUACUGUCUUCUCCAGCCGUGAUUCGCAGCGCCGACGGUUUCUGGGUAGCAGGUCCUUCCGGCCGUGCUUGAAUCAGUCCGAUUCCGGCUUGGUCCUCUCCGGCGAGUUUGUAGGUCUGAACAAAGAAAAAAUAAAUAAAUAAAAGUCGCAUCUUGGUCUCGCCGGCGAUCAAGGCUGGUUUUUCUCCGGCCACGAUUUCUGACGAUUUGGGUUCUUCGCUUCGUGUUUUCUGGGUCGAGGCUGGGUUUUCCUGUGAUUUCGGCUUGGUCGCUGCUUUUCUCCCGCGAUCAAGGCUAGGUCUUUGUGGCGUCGCGGCUGGGUCGCUGUUUUCCAGCGACUUCGGCUGGUUCUUACUGGGUUCCUUCCGGCGAGCUUGGGGAUCGCUUUUCGCCGGCGAUUUUGGCUUCGCCGUUUUCUCUUUGCGUAUAUAAAAAAAUAUUAAAUUAAAUAAAAUAAUAAAUAAAUAAUAAUAAAAUACAUAAAAAAAUUUAAAUAAUAAAAAAAAUAUGAAUUGUUGAUUAAAAAAAAAAAAAAUUGCAUUGAUGAUUUUUUUUUUUUUAAAAAAAAAAAAAACAAAACAGUUGUAUUGUUGUUAAAAAUAAUUGCAUUGAUAAUUCAAAAAAUAAUAAUAAUAAUUAAAUUAAUUUAUUUUAAAUAAAAAAAAAUUUUCUCCCUAGUUUUUGGUCUUGCUAGAGACGGUAAAUUUAGCCUAUUUUUUAUUUUAUAGGUUGUAUAUAUAUGUUCUUUUUCCUUUUUUUUAAAAAAAAAAAACAAUAAAAACACAAAUAUAUAUAUAUAUAUAUAAAACAAAAAAAAAAAAAAAACAACAACAUAAAAAAAAUAAAAAUAAAUAAAAAAUAUAUGUUGCCGUUAUGCCCUUAUGCUUGAUUAUACAUGUUUUAAUCUGUUAUAAAGGGUUUUAUCUCAUAUCUCUUUGCAUCGUAUUAUAUAUUGUUUUGAACUGUAUGCAUUGCUUAUCCCAUGUGAUAUUUGAUGUGAGUUUGCUAGUAUGGUUAUACAGAUAGGUUUUUGCAUCCAAGUUUGGGGGAGACAUCUUUCAUACUGGAUCAUUGCCGGACUUCAUCAUCUUUGCCAUCACGUCAUACUCUUUCCAUCAUUUUCAUCGUUCUCAUUGCACAUUGAGUACAGUGUACAUUUUAAGUUUGGAGGGAAAUAAAGUUAAAAUGAGCUAAGAAUGGUCCAUUAAAGCCUCUUUGGAGUCAAGCAAAGACAUUCAGAAAAAGUUCAAAAAAUUGGCAAAAAGAUGUCGCAACCCAUUGCUCGUAUAGUGUAUUUAUUCUUCAAAAGCGGUCAAUCUCGGACCUUUAAUGAUGUUCUCAAAGAUGAAAAAGCAAACCAACGAGCCUAGGGCCAAAAUGGAGCUAAAUAAGGCUUAAAGAAAAUUUCCAACUCUUAAGGGAUCGAUCCCCCAGGACUUGGCAACAUUACAGGAAAAAGAAGAAGAAGCCAAAAGAUGGAGAUGGAGCUUGUUGACACCAUGAUCAUCUUCUCCAUGAGCUAGUUCUUCACUUAGAGCUUGGAUGAGCCCUAAGUUCAUAUAACCUAAACCUUUGUUUUUCUUUUCUUGGGGAAUUAUUAUGUUGUAAUUAAAUAUAUGGCCUUAUGAUUUAUUUAUAUAUACAUACUUGAUUUGACAAA